rnacentral:rRNA from 1 species
CCUACGGGGGGCAGCAGUGAGGAAUAUUGGUCAAUGGGCUUACGCCUGAACCAGCCAAGUCGCGUGAGGGAAGACUGCCCUAUGGGUUGUAAACCUCUUUUGUCAGGGAGCAACGCCGGCUACGUGUAGCCGGACUGAGAGUACCUGAAGAAAAAGCACCGGCUAACGCCGUGCCAGCUGCCGCGGUAAUACGGAGGAUGCGAGCGUUAUCGGGAUUUUUUGGGUUUAAAGGGUGCGUAGGCGGGAUGUCAAGUAAGCGGUAAAAUCGAGGGGCUCAACCUCGCUCCGCCGUUGAAACUGGCGUUCUUGAGUAGGCGAGAGGUAUGCGGAAUGCGUGGUGUAGCGGUGAAAUGCAUAGAUAUCACGCAGAACUCCGAUUGCGAAGGCAGCAUACCGGAGCCCUACUGACGCUGAAGCACGAAAGCGUGGGUAUCGAACAGGAUUAGAUACCCGGGUAGUC